AAGAGUUUUAUAACUCCCAAACCCAUGUGAACAUACCGUACGUUGCCUCGGCAGGCUGCGUCUCCCCGUGAGGACCUACCCUGUAGGACGCUACGCUGUAAGGCUUAUCGGGAAGAUGCACUAAAGCCUGCCGGCGGCCCAUUAAAAUCUGUUUAUUUUUGAAUUCUGAGGCUAUAAUAAAUAAGUUA
rnacentral:misc_RNA from 1 species